rnacentral:rRNA from 1 species
AUACGGAGGGUGCAAGCGUUAAUCGGAAUUACUGGGCGUAAAGCGCGCGUAGGCGGUUUAGUAAGUCGGAUGUGAAAGCCCCGGGCUCAACCUGGGAAUUGCAUUCGAUACUGCUUGACUAGAGUAUGGUAGAGGGAAGUGGAAUUUCCGGUGUAGCGGUGAAAUGCGUAGAUAUCGGAAGGAACACCAGUGGCGAAGGCGACUUCCUGGGCCAAUACUGACGCUAAGGUGCGAAAGCGUGGGGAGCAAACAGGAUUAGAAACCCCAGUAGUCC